rnacentral:hammerhead_ribozyme from 1 species
AUCAAUCUGACGUGUCCUAAAUAAGAUGAAAUGCGCAUCGUGGAU